UAGGGAAUCUUCGGCAAUGGACGGAAGUCUGACCGAGCAACGCCGCGUGAGUGAAGAAGGUUUUCGGAUCGUAAAGCUCUGUUGUUAGAGAAGAACGUUGGUAGGAGUGGAAAAUCUACCAAGUGACGGUAACUAACCAGAAAGGGACGGCUAACUACGUGCCAGCAGCCGCGGUAAUACGUAGGUCCCGAGCGUUGUCCGGAUUUAUUGGGCGUAAAGCGAGCGCAGGUGGUUCUUUAAGUCUGAAGUUAAAGGCAGUGGCUUAACCAUUGUACGCUUUGGAAACUGGAGGACUUGAGUGCAGAAGGGGAAAGUGGAAUUCCAUGUGUAGCGGUGAAAUGCGUAGAUAUAUGGAGGAACACUGGUGGCGAAAGCGGCUUUCUGGUCUGUAACUGACGAUGAGGCUCGAAAGCGUGGGGAGCAAACAGG
rnacentral:rRNA from 1 species